UACGGAGGAUGCGAGCGUUAUCCGGAUUUAUUGGGUUUAAAGGGUGCGUAGGCGGGCUCUUAAGUCAGCGGUAAAAAUUCGGGGCUCAACCCCGUCCGGCCGUUGAAACUGGGGGUCUUGAGUGGGCGAGAAGAAGGCGGAAUGCGUGGUGUAGCGGUGAAAUGCAUAGAUAUCACGCAGAACCCCGAUUGCGAAGGCAGCCUUCCGGCGCCCUACUGACGCUGAGGCACGAAAGUGCGGGGAUCGAACAGG
rnacentral:rRNA from 1 species